GAUGAACGCUGGCGGCGUGCUUAACACAUGCAAGUCGAACGAAGCACUUUAUUUGAUUUCCUUCGGGACUGAUUAUUUUGUGACUGAGUGGCGGACGGGUGAGUAACGCGUGGGUAACCUGCCUUGUACAAGGGGAUAACAGUUGGAAACGGCUGCUAAUACCGCAUAAGCGCCCAGCAUCGCAUGAUGCAGUGUGAAAAACUCCGGUGGUAUAAGAUGGACCCGCGUUGGUUUAGCUAGUUGGUGAGGUAAAGGCCCACCAAGGCGACGAUCCAUAGCCGGCCUGAGAGAGUGACCGGCCACAUUGAGACUGGGACACGGCCCAAACUCCUACGGGAGGCAGCAGUGGGGAAUAUUGCACAAUGGGCGAAAGCCUGAUGCAGCGACGCCGCGUGAGCGAAGAAGUAUUUCGGUAUGUAAAGCUCUAUCAGCAGGGAAGAUAAUGACGGUACCUGACUAAGAAGCACCGGCUAAAUACGUG
rnacentral:rRNA from 1 species